UACGUAGGGAGCAAGCGUUGUCCGGAAUCAUUGGGCGUAAAGCGCGCGUAGGCGGCCCUGUAAGUCCGCUGUGAAAGUCAAAGGCUCAACCUUUGAAAGCCGGUGGAUACUGCAGGGCUAGAGUCCGGAAGAGGCGAGUGGAAUUCCUGGUGUAGCGGUGGAAUGCGCAGAUAUCAGGAGGAACACCAAUAGCGAAGGCAGCUCGCUGGGACGGUAACUGACGCUAAGGCGCGAAAGCGUGGGGAGCGAACGAGG
rnacentral:rRNA from 1 species